rnacentral:rRNA from 1 species
AGUCGAGCGGAACGAGUUAACUGAACCUUCGGGGGACGUUAACGGCGUCGAGCGGCGGACGGGUGAGUAAUGCCUAGGAAAUUGCCCUGAUGUGGGGGAUAACCAUUGGAAACGAUGGCUAAUACCGCAUGAUGCCUACGGGCCAAAGAGGGGGACCUUCGGGCCUCUCGCGUCAGGAUAUGCCUAGGUGGGAUUAGCUAGUUGGUGAGGUAAGGGCUCACCAAGGCGACGAUCCCUAGCUGGUCUGAGAGGAUGAUCAGCCACACUGGAACUGAGACACGGUCCAGACUCCUACGGGAGGCAGCAGUGGGGAAUAUUGCACAAUGGGCGCAAGCCUGAUGCAGCCAUGCCGCGUGUGUGAAGAAGGCCUUCGGGUUGUAAAGCACUUUCAGUCGUGAGGAAGGUAUAGGGUUUAAUAGAUGCUUUAUUUGACGUUAGCGACAGAAGAAGCACCGGCUAACUCCGUGCCAGCAGCCGCGGUAAUACGGAGGGUGCGAGCGUUAAUCGGAAUUACUGGGCGUAAAGCGCAUGCAGGUGGUUUGUUAAGUCAGAUGUGAAAGCCCGGGGCUCAACCUCGGAAUAGCAUUUGAAACUGGCAGACUAGAGUACUGUAGAGGGGGGUAGAAUUUCAGGUGUAGCGGUGAAAUGCGUAGAGAUCUGAAGGAAUACCGGUGGCGAAGGCGGCCCCCUGGACAGAUACUGACACUCAGAUGCGAAAGCGUGGGGAGCAAACAGGAUUAGAUACCCUGGUAGUCCACGCCGUAAACGAUGUCUACUUGGAGGUUGUGGCCUUGAGCCGUGGCUUUCGGAGCUAACGCGUUAAGUAGACCGCCUGGGGAGUACGGUCGCAAGAUUAAAACUCAAAUGAAUUGACGGGGGCCCGCACAAGCGGUGGAGCAUGUGGUUUAAUUCGAUGCAACGCGAAGAACCUUACCUACUCUUGACAUCCAGAGAACUUUCCAGAGAUGGAUUGGUGCCUUCGGGAACUCUGAGACAGGUGCUGCAUGGCUGUCGUCAGCUCGUGUUGUGAAAUGUUGGGUUAAGUCCCGCAACGAGCGCAACCCUUAUCCUUGUUUGCCAGCGAGUAAUGUCGGGAACUCCAGGGAGACUGCCGGUGAUAAACCGGAGGAAGGUGGGGACGACGUCAAGUCAUCAUGGCCCUUACGAGUAGGGCUACACACGUGCUACAAUGGCGCAUACAGAGGGCGGCCAACUUGCGAAAGUGAGCGAAUCCCAAAAAGUGCGUCGUAGUCCGGAUUGGAGUCUGCAACUCGACUCCAUGAAGUCGGAAUCGCUAGUAAUCGUGGAUCAGAAUGCCACGGUGAAUACGUUCCCGGGCCUUGUACACACCGCCCGUCACACCAUGGGAGUGGGCUGCAAAAGAAGUAGGUAG